ensembl:rRNA 5S_rRNA 5S ribosomal RNA
GCUUACGGCCACACCCCCUUGAGCACGCCCGAUCUCGUCUGAUCUCGGAAGCUAAGCAGGGACGGGCCUGGUUAGUACCUGGAUGGAGACCGCCUGGGAAUACCAGGUGCUGUAAGCC